rnacentral:rRNA from 14 species
CAAAGGAAUUGACGGGGGCCCGCACAAGCGGUGGAGUAUGUGGUUUAAUUCGAUGCAACACGAAGAACCUUACCAGGGUUUGAAAUCAUUUCAAAACUCCUUGAAAGAGGAGCCUCCUUCGGGAUGAAAUGACAGGUGGUGCAUGGCUGUCGUCAGCUCGUGUUGUGAAAUGUCGAGUUAAGUCUCGUAACGAGCGCAACCCAUGUCUCUUGUUGCUCACUGAGUGCUUAAGAGAGACUGCCGACCAACAUCGGAGGAAGGUGUGGAUGAUGUCAAGUCAGCAUGCCCCUUACAUCCUGGGCUACACACGUACUACAA